CUUCCUGGGGACAAGGAAUGGCCACAGUGAGCCCAGGUCGGGCCCGCGGUGCUCGGUGACACUGCUGUCACUCGCCUCUGGCCCAUUUUCCCGUUUCUGAAGAAGGGCUGAGGACCCAGCAAUGCAGCUUCCGCAGAGAUUUUUACCAAAGGAGGCGACACUGUCUCACGGAGUGACGAGGAGAGUGCACGGAGGCAGAGGGAGGUCACCGCAGGGCAGAGGGGAACUGCUCCGUCUGGAGGUUCAGGACCUCAGGAAGGCCUGGGGGGAGGAGAUCCUCAGCCUCUGAGCCAAGAGACUAGAGAGACUCUCAAAGCACCGGCAGAAGCAAAGUGCAUUCUGGCCCCACGCCUCAGCGAAGGGCCUGCCUGGGGGUCACCUGUGGUGUGUGCUCGAUGGCCCAGAUGUGCUCAGUGUUCCAGGCCCUCCAGGGAGUGAGGCAGUGCAGAAGGGACCCCAGGCCCUGCCGCCCAGCCCCCACCACCGCAGGGGGCUGGGAAAAGGUGCCAGAUCUGGGAACUGAAACCACUGUUGACCAUCCCUCUUCAUCCUCUCCCAGCCUGACAACUCUCCUUUCCUGGCCCAAAAGUUAAGAGCUCCGAGCAGCUUUUGAUGGAUGCUGGUGGGAAAUUUUAUGGCGAAAUUUCAGCGGGUGGGGGCGCCACCUGCUUAUGAACACAAUGUCACCAAGGAGGGGCCUCCAGGAGGCAAUUCCCUCAUCCAUGCAUUCAGACAUGGGACUUGGUCUGAAACUUGCUCCCCGGGCUGUGACCAUUCGUCUUCCCCUUCUCGUCGAGGCUGACCCUAGUGUCCGGACACCCGGCACCCCCACAUCAGCUCACUGUGAGCCCAGAUGCCGGCCGUGUCUCUGCUGGGUUCCAACCACCCAGCCAGAGGCACCUACGAUCCAGCCUGGCCACCCCUCCAAACACACGCCGGUACUUGGAAGUAAGUCACACUGCCCACGGGGCUCGCACGGGGGACAGGUGACUGCAGAGCACCUGGGAAGGAGCCACGCAGCAGGGGAUGGGAGGGGCUGACAGAGCCCCACUGGGUGGUCUGGGGCCACGUGAGGAGCCUCGUGGUCCGGGCCCGGGCGCUCCAGCACCCGGCAGGGCAACACCGGGAUGUCCCGGCGGGUGGAGCUGGGCCACGGAGAGGAGGCUCGUUCCCGCAGCCAGCAGGAAGACAGGUGACACUAAGGCUCUACUCUGAGAACUGGGAGGAAAUGUCACAGCCGAGGAACAAGAGGAACCUUCCACCUGACCCCUGAGAAGAGCAGAACAGAUGUGGCCGUGGUCAUCAGUCCCGCAUCCAGCUGCCGAAGACGGCGCAGGGCAGAGCGGGCGGGCGCUAGCAGGGGCCGGCCCCAGAGCCGAGCCCGCUGGCGUGACGGGGAACCAGGUGAUUCGGGCAGCUCCCUUGAGAUAACGGAUCACCUCGUUCUGCAGAAGAGAGUGGGGACGGCACCAGGCACCAGACUCCGCGCGCUGGGGUUGCCGGCUUGGGCGGGGAGGCUCCGCACGGCCCCACCUGCUCCCAGGAGGCCCGGGGGUAGGGAUGGCGCCGUGAGGCCAGCUGGGGUCACACUGGCAGAGGGCCCUCUGCAUCCAGGGCCUCGCCCAGGCCCGGCACCCAGGGAGCUGAGCUAGGGAGCGAGGCGGGCCAAUCACAAAACAGCCCCAGCUGCCAUCAGACCCCCAGGCGGCACCUGGAAAGGGGCCGGCAGCACCAGCCACUGAGCCGGCCGGGCUGCCCGGGCUCCGUCCACCCAGCAAGGCUCUACAAGGCCUGCGGCACCCCGCGCGGCGCAGGCCACGCCGCUUCUGACUCACCGCCGUCC